CUACGGGGGGCAGCAGUGGGGAAUAUUGGGCAAUGGGCGCAAGCCUGACCCAGCAACGCCGCGUGAGGGAAGAAGGUUUUCGGAUUGUAAACCUCUGUCCUUGGGGACGAAGAAGUGACGGUACCCAAGGAGGAAGCUCCGGCUAACUACGUGCCAGCAGCCGCGGUAAUACGUAGGGAGCAAGCGUUGUCCGGAAUUACUGGGCGUAAAGGGUGCGUAGGCGGCAUAUUAAGUCAGGUGUGAAAUACUCGGGCUCAACCCGGGGGCUGCAUUUGAAACUGAUAUGCUUGAGUGUGAGAGGGAAAGUGGAAUUCCUAGUGUAGCGGUGGAAUGCGUAGAUAUUAGGAGGAACACCAGUGGCGAAGGCGACUUUCUGGCUCAUAACUGACGCUGAGGCACGAAAGCGUGGGGAGCAAACAGGAUUAGAUACCCUCGUAGUC
rnacentral:rRNA from 1 species